AAAUAAUAAAAACUUAAUAAUAACAAAAAUAAAUAUAAACGGUCGCGAAUGACGACCGUUUUUAAUCUUUCAAUCUUUUUUAACCUAAAGAACCAGGUUUUCUUCAUUAUCUCGAAUAUUAAUGAGAAUUUCAACAAAUGACCUUUUUAAAAUACCAACAGAGAACAUUUACUUUUAAAAAAGAUGCCAUAAUUGAUAAUCGAAGUAGGCUUUCUGGUAGAAAAAGUGUUCAUAUAAUAAAAAAAAUAAACAUCACCGUAAAACCAAUACAUUGCCGCUACGAUCCGAACUUUUGCUAAUAAAUCAACGUGAUUUUUUCAAGAAAUCGGUAGCAACCGAUGAAUACAAUUUAAAUCUGGAACAAUAAUAUUGUCAGAAGCCUGUGUAGCAUGCAAAAAGUCGAAAACUCGUUCGGAUCGACCUGAAAAACAAACUACAAACACUCGCGUGUACACCAGUAAUUAUAACCGUGCCAAGUAUAAUUAUUAUUCUCACCUCCCGAAUCCCCGAGAUUCGAUCUCUAAGAAAAAAAAAAAAAUCAAAAUACAUUAUACGCGACGAAGAUGAUGCGCUGACGGUGCAAAAGUUCUCAAUCACGACGAUGGCGACGUUCGCUGGCCGAGGUCAAGUCGAUUUAUUAUCAUUAUACUAUACAAUAAAAAGGUGACGGUCGUGAUGACCUUCCUUCCUUCCCUCCGAAAAAACUCUGUUGAAAAAUAUAUUGAUGUGGUUCGUGGUUCGAAGGAAAAUAAAUGAUCAAAUAAAAAAAAAAUUACUACCGAUGUGCUACUAUUGUAGUUGAAAAGUUAGACGAGUAAGAAACGCGGUGUUAAUGAGUUUAUGUAUCUGUAUCGCAGAGAUAACAUGAAAAAUGUUGAAUUCCGAAAGAAGACCAAUUGAAAUGAAACGCCGUG